rnacentral:lncRNA from 1 species
CUGCCAUUACCUUUAGAAGAAAUAGAAGACACCCCUCCCCCAAUUUACACAUGUGCAGCUGGGCUAAAGGAGCCAGAUCCAAGAGCAGAGCCAUCAGCUGUGCCUACUACCAGCUUUCCGCAGAGGGAAACUUCAAAGUAAUUCCCGAAGGUUGACUUAAAGGAAACUUGCCAAUCUGGCAGAAGAAUCCAACACACAUUUGACUUCUUUCCCAUCUGAACAGGUGAGUCCAAAGACCUGGAGAAACUGUACCCGCUGGGUGGAGAACACACAAUGGGGAAGUUGGAAUUUGGUGGCUCCAGAUAUUAUGGAAGUGGCCUGGAAACUACUUGUUUAUUGAUCUUGAGGAUCCAAGGAUUCAAAGAAACAGAGGAAAUUCAAUCAAGAAUCCACCUUGGAGCAUCUAGAGGUCAUUUGGGUGACUAG